rnacentral:rRNA from 1 species
CCUACGGGUGGCAGCAGUGAGGAAUAUUGGUCAAUGGCCGGAAGGCUGAACCAGCCAUGCCGCGUGAAGGUCAGUGCCCUAUGGGCGUUAAACUUCUUUUGUGCGGGAGCAAUAAUGGUCACGUGUGGCCAGACGAGAGUACCGUACGAAUAAGCAUCGGCUAACUCCGUGCCAGCAGCCGUGGUAAUACGGGGGAGGCAAGCUUUAUCCGGAUUUAUUGGGUUUAAAGUGUGCGUAGGCUGUGAGGUAGGUCUGGUGUUAAAGGCGGAAGCUCAACUUCCGUAGGGCACUGGAUACUGGCGAGCUUGAAUGCGGUAGAGGUAAAGGGAAUUCCUGGUGUAGCGGUGAAAUGCGUAGAUAUCAGGAGGAACAUCGGUGGCGUAGGCGCUUUACUGGGCCGUAAUUGACACUGAGGAACGAAAGCCGGGGUAGCAAAUGGGAUUAGAUACCCGAGUAGUC